GAUGAACGCUGGCGGCGUGCCUAAUACAUGCAAGUCGAGCGAAAAGACGAUGAGCUUGUUCCUCUGACGUUAGCGGAGGGCGGGUGUGUCACACGUGGAUAACCUACCUAUCAGACUGGGAUCAUUACGGGAAACCGGCGCUAAUCCCGGAGAAUAUACUGAACCGUAUGGUUGAAUAGUGAGAGACGGUUUUGCUGUCACGUCUCGCUGCAUCCGCGCCGCAUUAGCUAGUUGGUAAGGUCAAGGCUUACGACGGCAACGAUGCGUAGCCGACCGCAGGGGGUGGUCGGCGACACUAGAACGGAGACGGGGUCCAGACGCCUACGGGAGGCAGCAGUAUGGAAUCGGCCGCAGUGGGCGAGAGCCUUGCGGAGCAACGCCACGUGAGUGAUGAAGGUCUUGGGAUCGUAAAGCUCUGUUUUGAGUGAAGAACAAAUUUGUAAGUAACUAUGCACGUCGUGACGGUAACUAAUCAGAAAGCCACGGCUAACUACGUG
rnacentral:rRNA from 1 species